rnacentral:tRNA from 1 species
ACCUGAGUGGCUCAGUCAGUUAAAGUGUCUGACUUCGGCUCAGGUCGUGAUCUUACGGUUUGUGGGUUCGAGUCCCGCGUUGGGCU